CCUACGGGAGGCAGCAGUGGGGGAUAUUGCACAAUGGCGGAAACCCUGAUGCAGCGACGCCGCGUGGGCGAAGACGUAUUUCGGUAUGUAAAGCCCUAUCAGCAGGGAAGAAGAAAUGACGGUACCUGAGUAAGAAGCACCGGCUAAAUACGUGCCAACAGCCGCGGUUAUACGUAUGGUGCAGGCGUUAUCCGGAUUUACUGGGUGUAAAGGGAGCGCAGGCGGGACGGCAAGCCUGAUGGGAAAGCCAGGGGCCCAACCGCCGGACUGCAGUGGAAACUACCGGGCUGGAGUGCCGGAGAGGUAGGCGGAAUGCGUAGUGUAGCGGUGAAAUGCGUAGAUAUUAGGAGGAACACCAGUGGCGAAGGCGGCCUACUGGAGGGUGACUGACGCUGAUGCUCGAAAGCGUGGGGAGCAAACAGGAUUAGAUACCCGAGUAGUC
rnacentral:rRNA from 1 species